rnacentral:siRNA from 1 species
GAAGUCCACAAAAACUGAGCUG